rnacentral:tRNA from 1 species
GUCAGGAUGAUCAAGUGGUCUAAGGCACCAGACUCAAGGUUCAGUACCUUCCACAAAAAUGGGUGUUCUGGUCUCUGAAUGGAGGCGUGGGUUCAAAUCCCAAUUCUGACA